CUACUGGGGUAUCUAAUCCUGUUUGCUCCCCACGCUUUCGCACCUCAGCGUCAGUAUCGAGCCAGUGAGCCGCCUUCGCCACUGGUGUUCCUCCGAAUAUCUACGAAUUUCACCUCUACACUCGGAAUUCCACUCACCUCUCUCGAACUCAAGAUACCCAGUAUCAAGGGCAGUUCCGGGGUUGAGCCCCGGGAUUUCACCCCUGACUUAAAUAUCCGCCUACGCGCGCUUUACGCCCAGUAAUUCCGAACAACGCUAGUCCCCUCCGUAUUACCGCGGCUGCUGGCAC
rnacentral:rRNA from 1 species